GCCACUGUGGUAUAAUGGUUUGAGCACUGGAGUAGGACUCUGGAGGCCAGGGUUCGAAUCCCUGGUCAGCCA